GAUGAACGCUGGCGGCGUGCYUAACACAUGCAAGUCGAACGAAGCACUUGUAUUUGAUUCUUCGGAUGAAGAUACUUGUGACUGAGUGGCGGACGGGUGAGUAACGCGUGGGUAACCUGCCUCAUACAGGGGGAUAACAGUUAGAAAUGGCUGCUAAUWCCGCAUAAGCACACAGUGUUGCAUGACACAGUGUGAAAAACUCCGGUGGUAUGAGAUGGACCCGCGUCUGAUUAGCUGGUUGGUGGGGUAACGGCCUACCAAGGCGACGAUCAGUAGCYGACCUGAGAGGGUGACCGGCCACAUUGGGACUGAGACACGGCCCAAACUCCUACGGGAGGCAGCAGUGGGGAAUAUUGCACAAUGGGGGAAACCCUGAUGCAGCGACGCCGCGUGAGCGAAGAAGUAUUUCG
rnacentral:rRNA from 1 species